UAGGGAAUCUUCGGCAAUGGGGGGAACCCUGACCGAGCAACGCCGCGUGAGCGAAGAAGGUUUUCGGAUCGUAAAGCUCUGUUGUUAAGGAAGAACGAGUGUGAGAAUGGAAAGUUCAUACUGUGACGGUACUUAACCAGAAAGGGACGGCUAACUACGUGCCAGCAGCCGCGGUAAUACGUAGGUCCCGAGCGUUGUCCGGAUUUAUUGGGCGUAAAGCGAGCGCAGGCGGUUAGAUAAGUCUGAAGUUAAAGGCAGUGGCUCAACCAUUGUAGGCUUUGGAAACUGUUUAACUUGAGUGCAGAAGGGGAGAGUGGAAUUCCAUGUGUAGCAGGGAAAUGCGUAGAUAUAUGGAGGAACACCGGUGGCGAAAACGGCUCUCUGGUCUGUAACUGACGCUGAGGCUCGAAAGCGUGGGGAGCGAACAGG
rnacentral:rRNA from 1 species